UACGUAGGGAGCAAGCGUUGUUCGGAUUUACUGGGCGUAAAGGGCGCGUAGGCGGCAAAUUAAGUCAGCUGUGAAAUCUCCGAGCUUAACCCGGAAAGGUCAGCCGAUACUGCAGGGCUAGAGUGCAGAAGGGGCAACUGGAAUUCUCGGUGUAGCGGUGAAAUGCGUAGAUAUCGAGAGGAACACCUGCGGCGAAGGCGGGUUGCUGGGCUGACACUGACGCUGAAGCGCGAAAGCUAGGGGAGCGAACGGG
rnacentral:rRNA from 1 species